rnacentral:rRNA from 1 species
AUGGAUGAAUCAAUUGAUGUAAAUGAUGCUCUCACACAUGCUUCCAACCCAGAUAACAACAUAAGGUCAAUAGGAGAAGACAUGCUAAAGCGGCUCCAAAAUCGUGAUCUUCCCAACUUUCUGCUAUAUUUAUCAUCUGAGCUCGUGAGGGAGGGGAUUCCAGAAGAGUCUAGGGUACUUGCUGCCAUCACCCUUAAGAACUCCUUGGACUCGAAGGAUCCUGCACUCAAGGAUGCACACAAGGAUCUAAUUUGUCUAAAAUGGCUCAGCGUGGAUAAAUCUAUCCGAUUAGAGAUUAAGAAUAACUUGCUCAUGACACUAGAAAUUGAUUCAAGGCCAUCUCAUUCAAGGCACCCCUCGUCAAAAGUUAUUGCAGAAGUUAUUGCGAGGGUUGCAUGCAUGGAGAUACCCCGGAAUCAGUGGCUGGACCUUGUUGGUAAAUUAAUGGACAACAUGGCAAGUUUAUCUUCUUCCCUAAAGCAAGCAACUCUAGAGGUGCUCCAGUAUAUCUUCAAGGCAAAGAUCCCUAACGUUGUCAAGCGGGAUCAAGUGGAUGAUGUUAUUGCUAGUGUCAUCAGUGCACUGAACGACGAGGUGCUAGGUUCUCAAGUCCAUCUGGCAGCCCUUAAAGCUUUACACAACAUUUUUGAGUUUACUAAGUUUGAAGGCCAUGAUUGGAGAGGUGCUAUAGAGGCAGUUUUUGCUGUGGCUUAUAGAACAUCUGGAACAGAGAUCCCAGAGGCAGCAUUUGAGUGCCUCGUUGCAAUUGCAUCCACUUGUCAUACCAAAUUCGAACCCGACGUAGAAGUGCUGAUGCGUAUUACAAUGCAAGCUUUGAAUGGAGAUGUGGAAUCACUUAAAGUCCAAUGUAUCAAGUUGUGGAUCACUAUUUGCGAAAAAGAGAUUGAUUGGCUAGAAGAAGAAGAAGAAGAAGAAGAAGAAGAAGAAGAAGAAGAAGAAGAAGAAAAAGAAGAUAAAGAUGAAUCUUACUUUACUGGUCUUCUCUAUUCAUUGGUCCCACUUCUCCUACAAACUUACUUAAAUGAAGAAGAGAGGGAUUUAGAACAAAUGGACAUUUGGAUCAUUUCCAUGACAUGCCUAGGCCUUGCAGCUAGAAUUCUGAAGGGUGGAGUUGUCCCCACUGUGAUGCAUUUUGUUGAGGAGAACAUGAAUGGGCCACAUAAGAUAGCUGCAUUGUCUCCAUUAGGUUUUAUCCUCGAAGGUCCCUCAGUCAAGCAGCUUGCUCCUCUAGUUGAUUUAUUGCUUGCCUUGAUGGAAUAUCAGGCGGAAGGUGUAAGAGGCAGGGCUGCAUGGACUCUUGGGCGGCUGUUUGAGCUUGUGGAUGCACAUAGAAUCAUGAGAAAUGAGGUGGUGUCCCUGGAUAGGAUCAUGGAGCUCUUGAUAGAGAGGAGCUGUGAUGUCCCUCAAGUGUCCAUUGAAGUGCAUGGAGCUCUAUAUUUUCUUGCACGAGGUUAUGGAGAAGAUGCAAAGUCAGGGUCAAAGUCAAAUUCAUGUGAGCUUUCACCUUUUGUUAAGCCUCUUAUUGAUGCUCUCAUGCGUGCUUCCGAUCUGGCUAGGGAGACCCCUUUUAGUUUCCUAGCAUCUCCUUAUAAAGCAUUGAGUGAGAUUGUGGAAGUUAGUGACACCCGGGACUUACAAGUUUGGGAGGCUCUUAUGGGCUUGAUGUCUCAUAUCAUGAGGAGAUUCAACAUUGUGCUUCAUGGUCAUGGUGCAAUUUCAUCUCUUCAGAGGAAGAACCAACUUGAGGUCUUGUUGUGUGGUCUAGUUGAAGUCUUAAUCCACAAGCUUGGAGAUACACUUGAGGGGUCUGCUAAAUGUUUGUUGCUGUUAUUGUGCCCUCUCUUAACCCGUGAGAGUACAAGUGCACGUAAUGGAGCAGCCCUUGCCAUUGGUGCUCUUGCUCAUGCCAUUGGUGCUGAUUUUGGACAACACAUGCCUAUGGUGCUACAAUAUUUCAGUGUGAAGCGACUCUCUCCACUUUAUUUAGAAGUUAUAUGUGAUAUAUGCCAUGUCUUGGGAAAAGAGGGAAAAGAGGAAGAAGUUGUGCCGUGCUUUGAUCAUAUUAUGGAAGUUCUGUAUCAAGGUAUGGUAGAAUUGACACUUCAACCUCUAAUUCUAUCAAGCAUUGGACAGAUUGCUCUUUCUCUUGGUGAGAAGUUUGAGAAGUACCUGCCUCCAGUUAUGGAAAAGCUUUUAGUUAUGGAAAAGGCUGUUCAACUCGAUCAGGAUCCUCAUGAGGAUCAUAGUAACAAGGUUAGAGAGGCAAUAUGUAAGGCCUACCAUGGCAUAAUAAGGGGAAUAAGUGAUGCAAAGUCUGGAUUCAAGGUAGGAAUGGCUCUACUUGAAUUCAGUGAACAGGAGAGAAAGAGAAGGUAA